rnacentral:rRNA from 1 species
GAUGAACGCUAGCGGCAGGCCUAAUACAUGCAAGCCGAACGGUAAUUCUGAUAGCAAUAUUGGAACUAGAGUGGCGUAAGGGUGCGUAACACGUAUGCAAUCUACCCGCAACAGGAGGAUAGCUCCCCGAAAGGGGAAUUAACCCUCCAUGAGAUCACACGAGGGCAUCCGAGAGUGAUUAAAUUUGAGGAGGUUGUGGAUGAGCAUGCGACUGAUAGCUAGUUGGCAGUGUAACGGACUACCAAGGCGAUGAUCAGUAGGGGAACUGAGAGGUUGAUCCCCCACACUGGCACUGAGAUACGGGCCAGACUCC